rnacentral:rRNA from 1 species
GUGGGGAAUAUUGGACAAUGGGGGCUACCCUGAUCCAGCCAUGCCGCGUGAGUGAUGACGGCCUUCGGGUUGUAAAGCUCUUUUACAUGGGAAGAUAAUGACGGUACCAUGAGAAUAAGCACCGGCAAACUUCGUGCCAGCAGCCGCGGUAAUACGAAGGGUGCAAGCGUUGUUCGGAAUUACUGGGUGUAAAGGGCGUGUAGGCGGAUUAGUUAGUUAGUGGUGAAAUCCUUGGGCUCAACCUGAGAACUGCCAUUGAUACAGCUAGUCUGGAGUAUUAGAGAGGAUGACGGAAUAUCCAGUGUAGAGGUGAAAUUCGUAGAUAUUGGAUAGAACACCGGUGGCGAAGGCGGUCAUCUGGCUAAUUACUGACGCUGAGGCGCGAGAGCGUGGGGAGCAAACAGGAUUAGAAACCCGUGUAGUCC